UACGUAGGGUGCAAGCGUUAAUCGGAAUUACUGGGCGUAAAGCGUGCGCAGGCGGCUUUGCAAGACAGAUGUGAAAUCCCCGGGCUUAACCUGGGAACUGCGAUGGAAACUAGCGAGCUGGAGUGUGGCAGAGGGGGGUGGAAUUCCGCGUGUAGCAGUGAAAUGCGUAGAUAUGCGGAGGAACACCGAUGGCGAAGGCAAUCCCCUGGACCUGUACUGACGCUCAUGCACGAAAGCGUGGGUAGCAAACAGG
rnacentral:rRNA from 1 species